rnacentral:rRNA from 1 species
AGAGUUUGAUCAUGGCUCAGAACGAACGCUGGCGGAAGGCUUAACACAUGCAAGUCGAGCGCACUCUUCGGAGUGAGCGGCAGACGGGUGAGUAACGCGUGGGAACGUGCCCUUUGGUUCGGAAUAGCCCUUGGAAACGAGGAGUAAUGCCGAAUGUGCCCUUCGGGGGAAAGAUUUAUCGCCAAAGGAUCGGCCCGCGUUAGAUUAGCUAGUUGGUGAGGUAACGGCUCACCAAGGCGACGAUCUAUAGCUGGUCUGAGAGGAUGAUCAGCCACACUGGGACUGAGACACGGCCCAGACUCCUACGGGAGGCAGCAGUGGGGAAUCUUGGACAAUGGGCGCAAGCCUGAUCCAGCCAUUCCGCGUGGAUGAUGAAGGCCCUAGGGUUGUAAAAUCCUUUCGGCAGGGAAGAUAAUGACGGUACCUGCUAAAGAAGCCCCGGCUAACUCCGUGCCAGCAGCCGCGGUAAUACGGAGGGGGCUAGCGUUGUUCGGAAUUACUGGGCGUAAAGCGCGCGUAGGCGGAUCGAUCAGUCAGAGGUGAAAUCCCGGAGCUCAACUUCGGAACUGCCUUUGAUACUGUCGAUCUGGAGUCCGGGAGAG